rnacentral:rRNA from 1 species
AGUAACACGUGGGUAACCUGCCUCACAGCUGGGGAUAACAUCGAGAAAUCGAUGCUAAUACCGAAUGUGCUGAACAUCAUAAGAUGUUCAAGUGAAAGACGGUUUCGGCUGUCACUGUGAGAUGGACCCGCGCUGGAUUAGCUAGUUGGUAAGGUAAUGGCUUACCAAGGCGACGAUCCAUAGCCGACCUGAGAGGGUGAUCGGCCACAUUGGGACUGAGACACGGCCCAAACUCCUACGGGAGGCAGCAGUAGGGAAUCUUCGGCAAUGGACGAAAGUCUGACCGAGCAACGCCGCGUGAGCGAAGAAGGCCUUCGGGUCGUAAAGCUCUGUUGUUAGAGAAGAACAUGGGUGAGAGUAACUGUUCACCCCUUGACGGUAUCUAACCAGAAAGCCACGGCUAACUACGUG